rnacentral:lncRNA from 1 species
AAUGUUGUUUAUUUUGGAUUUUAUCUUUGAAAUCUGUAGUUUGUUUUAUGCCUCUUAGUUAGCUUACAAAAAGUUACUCUGCUUACACGUCUCUUAUUUUUAUGGAAAAAGAUAUAACAUCCCCCUUUGCUCCCCCUUUUAAAGGGUUCUAAAUUGAGAUUCUUUCUGCUACUAAUUUAAUUCUUCUGAAAAAGAAACAUAGGGGUUUGUUCUUUGCCAUAUAUCUUUGUUACUGCCUAACAAGCAGUUUGGAACAAUGACUUUAUAGACUUAAUCAGUACCCUGUUUAGUCAUUUCAUAUCAUCUGCAGUAUGUUUUUGAGAUACAUAUUUUUUUAAAAAAUAAAAGAUCAUUUGGGAUUCUAAACAACAGAAAUAUCCAAACAACAGAAUUGCUCUAAAGUUUUAAAAGUGAUCAUCUGUAUGAGAAAUCAUGCCUUGCAAUAACUGAAGAACAUUUGCUCUUCUGUGGGAAACAGUGGCGGCACGUCCUCGGCUCAUUCUUGGUCUGAGUGGUCCAGCCACUUACCCCAGAAAGCGGUCCUGCAUUGUGGAGGGAAACCACAGUGGCUCCCGAGAAUCCAUUGGCAAUGGAUGCAUUCUGACCACAUUUAUUGUUGUUUUUGGAGGGUAACAGUUGUUUUAAAGCACUGAACUGUAAUUGCAUAAAUACUCAUCUUACUUCCUAAAACGUGUUUGUUGAUCAUCGUGCUCUUUUGGAGUAAGAGCUGUAAGCUCUGGUAAGAUUACUCCUCAGGAACAUGUUGGGUCUUGGACAUUGCAGGUCAGUCAUCUAGGGCAGCAGUCUCCAAUCUUUUUGGCACCAGGGACUGGUUUGUGGAAGAUAAUUUUUCCACGGAUGGGUGGGGUGGGGGAUGGUUUCAGGUUGAUUCAAGCGCAUUCCAUUUAUUGUGCACUUUAUUUCUAUUAUUAUUACAUUGUCAUAUAUAAUGAAGUAAUUAUACAACUCACCAUAAUGUAGUAUCAGUGGGAGCCCAGAGCUUGUUUUCCUGUAACUAGAUGGUCCCAUCUCGGAAUGAUGGGAGACAAUGACAGGCCGUCAGGCAUUAGACUCUCAUUUAAAUAGGCAUUCAAAUAGGUUUCAGAUAGGUGUUUAGACUUUCAGAUUUAACUAGGCAUUCAAAUAGGUUUCAGAUUGAAGUUUAAAGAACAGUUUGCCUAAAUUUUGGUAAUAAAUAACCAUAUAGAAUUUCAGGGUCCUUUCUACGUAUGGAAAUUUUUGGUAAACAAAGAUAUUGUUUGGGUUAAAGUAGUAUUUUUAAAUUUCUUAAAUUAUAACAGAGUUUGGUUCUUGCAAUUUCACUUUAAGUAGUAC